CAUGCAAGUCGAACGCGAAAGUCCCGCAAGGGAUCAGUAGAGUGGCAAACGGGUGAGUAACACGUGGGUGACCUGCCUUCGAGCGGGGGAUAACGUCCCGAAAGGGACGCUAAUACCGCAUAACAUCCUGCCUUUGAAGAGGCGGUGAUCAAAGCUGGGGAUCGCAAGACCUAGCACUCGAAGAGGGGCCCGCGCCCGAUUAGCUAGUUGGUGGGGUAACGGCCUACCAAGGCAACGAUCGGUAGCCGGCCUGAGAGGGCGGACGGCCACACUGGGACUGAGACACGGCCCAGACUCCUACGGGAGGCAGCAGUGGGGAAUUGUUCGCAAUGGGCGCAAGCCUGACGACGCAACGCCGCGUGGAGGAUGAAGAUCUUCGGGUCGUAAACUCCUUUCGAUCGAGACGAACUCCUCCGGGGUGAACAAUCCCGGAGGUUGACGGUACCGAGAGAAGAAGCCCCGGCUAACUCCGUGCCAGCAGCCGCGGUAAUACGGGGGGGGCAAGCGUUGUUCGGAAUUACUGGGCGUAAAGGGCUCGUAGGUGGCCAACUAAGUCGGACGUGAAAUCCCUCGGCUUAACCGGGGAACUGCGUCCGAUACUGGUUGGCUUGAGUUUGGGAGAGGGAUGCGGAAUUCCAGGUGUAGCGGUGAAAUGCGUAGAUAUCUGGAGGAACACCGGUGGCGAAGGCGGCAUCCUGGACCAAUACUGACGCUGAGGAGCGAAAGCCAGGGGAGCAAACGGGAUUAGAUACCCCGGUAGUCCUGGCCCUAAACGAUGAAUGCUUGGUGUGGCGGGUAUCGAUCCCUGCCGUGCCGAAGCUAACGCAUUAAGCAUUCC
rnacentral:rRNA from 1 species